rnacentral:rRNA from 1 species
AGCGAACGCUGGCGGCAGGCCUAACACAUGCAAGUCGAACGAACCUUUCGGGGUUAGUGGCGGACGGGUGAGUAACACGUGGGAACGUGCCUUUAGGUUCGGAAUAACUCAGGGAAACUUGUGCUAAUACCGAAUGUGCCCUUCGGGGGAAAGAUCUAUCGCCGUUAGAGCGGCCCGCGUCUGAUUAGCUAGUUGGUUGAGGUAAUGGCUCACCAAGGCGACGAUCAGUAGCUGGUCUGAGAGGAUGAUCAGCCACAUUGGGACUGAGACACGGCCCAAACUCCUACGGGAGGCAGCAGUGGGGAAUCUUGCGCAAUGGGCGAAAGCCUGACGCAGCCAGGCCGCGUGAAUGAUGAAGGUCUUAGGAUUGUAAAAUUCUUUCACCGGGGACGAUAAUGACGGUACCCGGAGAAGAAGCCCCGGCUAACUUCGUG